rnacentral:lncRNA from 1 species
CAGUGUGCGAGGGAGGCCGGGAGGGGUCCCUGGGCGGGGAGUUGCUGCGCAUCUGUUGUGUGUGUGCGUCUGUCUGUCUGUUUUAGGCUGUGUCUGUCUGUCUGUCUGGGUCUGUUUCAGGCUGUGUCUGUCUGUCUGUCCGGGUCUGUUUCAGGCUGUGUCUGUCUGUCUGUCCGGGUCUGUUUCAGGCUGUGUCUGUCUGUCUGUCCGGGUCUGUUUCAGGCUGUGUCUGUCUGUCUGUCCGGGUCUGUUUCAGGCUGUGUCUGUCUGUCUGUUUGUCUGGGUCUGUUUCAGGCUGUGUCUGUCUGUCCGGGUCUGUUUCAGGCUGUAUGUGUGUCUGCUCUUUGCUUCUGCUCCUGGCUCUGUGUGUAUUUCCCGGGUCCUGU